GUGUGAGCGUGUAUUGAGGGGGAGAGCUAGCGAAGAGUUAGCGCGGCGAAGAAAUAGUGAUGCUGUGACACUUCUAAGGCUAGGAUUUAAGAAGCCUUGCAGAGUCCACCAGGGUCCCUUGGAACACAAAUUGUGGGAGAAGCAAUCCCUGAAGAAAGCCAGCCAUUAUGGAAGAAAUCCAACGACCCUGAGACCACUAUGCUGUAAGGAAGACCAAGCCAGCAAAGAAGAAGAAACCAUGUCCGGGUGCGGUGGCUCACGCCUGUAAUCCCAGCACUUUGGGAGGCCGAGGUGGGCGGAUCACUAGGUCAAGAGAAAGAGACCAUCCUGGCCAACAUGGUGAAACCCCAUCUCUACUAAAAAUACAAAAAUUAGCUGGGCGUGGUGGCACGUGCCUGUAGUCCCAGCUACUCGGGAGGCUGAGGCAGGAGAACCGCUUUGAACCUGGGGGGCGGAGGUUGUAGUGAGCCAAGAUUGCACCACUGCACUCCAGCCUGGCAACAGAGUGAAAAAAAAAAAAAAAAAAAAAAAAAGAAGAAGAAACCAUAUGGAGACAGAGAUGCCCCACCAGUACCCAAAUGUCUCAGACAUCACAGGCAUCAGACACAUUAGUAAAGAAGCUGUAAGCCAACCCCAGUUAUUUGACUGGAAUCAUAUGAGGAACCCUAAGUAAGAACUACAUCUCUGAGCUCAUCAAGGCCACAGAAUGGUGAGAGGUAAUCAUAAAUGGUUGUUUUAAGCCACAAAGUUCAGGAGUAGAUGGUUAUAUGGAAUAAAUAACUACCAGAGGUGUCUAACUUUCAUUCAA